AUUCGUUUUCGGUACAGAGUAGAGUCAGUGUUUCUCUAAGGAAGAAGGCAGUCAUCCAUCACGCGAAGAGAUGCCUGACUUUGCCAGUGAACAUUUCUGUUGGAUUUCAAUUUUAAAUAACGUUUUGUGACCGCGUGCAAUGCGGUCUGUAGAAUCAGUGUUUGUUCCGUAACAGUUUUUUUUUAUUUUUAUAUUUUAAUGUAUAAUAACUCUUAAUAAUUAAACUGUCAUAAUUAUUCGCGAAAUUAGAAUCAGUGCUUGUUCGUCGCCGAUGUUUUAAAUCGACGCGAUGGUAGUUUUUUAUUUUUAUUUUUUUAUUUUUAAUAUUCGUUUUCGGUACAGAGUAGAGUCAGUGUUUCUCAAAGGAAUAGGACAAUCAUCCACCACGCGAAGAGUUUCCACUUCCUGAUGAUGACUACUUUGGCGAUGACAUCUUGGGCCACGACAAUGCAGAUUCUUCGCAUCUAUCGGUGAGUCGCAUGCAUUUAUGUUCCUCCGGUCAUUCAAUCAUGUCGUAGGACAAAAAGUCCGAACCGACACGAGUGAUUGGUUGUAUACGUAGAUUUUUGUACGAGCACAAUGACCGCGGGUAUUCAUCAUACCCGUGAAUAGUAACAUUUCUUUGUGUUUUAUUUACUAGAUCAGGAUAGAUCUUCUU